UUGUUCACACAUCGUUAUGAUGGAAUUUGAUGCGACUGUCAUACACGUUAGAGGUUUGUCUAGCUUUAAACCCAGAUGUUAUCCAACAUGUUCCACAUAAGAUCACGCCUGUACUAUAUCAGGAAUAUGACUGUUAUUGUCCAUUCGUUUUAUGUGUUUAAGUAUUCGAUUAUGCCAUUUGAUAAGGGACUUUCCUUUCUGAAUUUUCCUCGGAGUUAUAAAAUCACAAUAAUACUGAACUCAGAGGAAACUCAAAUCGAAAAGUCCACAAUCACAUGACAAAUUUAAAUGACAAAACACUUCAAGAACAGUCAUAUUCCUGACUUGGUACAAGUAUUUUCAAAUGUAGAAAAUGGUGGAUUAAACCUGGUUUUAUAGCGCUAAACUUCUCACUUUGUACAACAGUCUUGUCAUAUGACGUUAUAUUAACAAUGAGGAGUGAACUAAACAGACAUAAUAAAUAAAAUAGUCAAAUUGUGGGUACAGCAGUCAUCAGCAUGUUACAAUUUUAAAAGAAACAAUUUGACAGAACACAAAAUCAUUUAUCAAAUUUAAAACACACUCAUUGCUUCGCGAGUCUGAGGUCAGAAAAUGGAUUCGUCACAUAUUUUUGUCGUUCAAUGUUUAUACAAACAAUUUUUAAAUUUCACAUUGGCAAUGUU
rnacentral:lncRNA from 1 species